rnacentral:rRNA from 1 species
UAAGUAAUGUGAAUUGCAGAAUUCAGUGAAUCAUCGAAUCUUUGAACGCACAUUGCGCCCCCUUCGGUAUUCCGAGGGGCGAUGCCUGUUCGAGCGUCAUUACACCACUCAAGCAUCGCUUGGUAUUGGGAACGGUCCGUCGCAAGGCGGGCCUUCCUCGAAGACCUCGGCGGGGUUCAACCAACUUCGGGCGUAGUAGAGUUAAAUCGAACGUCUUAUAAGCUUGGUCGGAUCUCAUUGCCGUUAAACCUUUAAAUUUUCUAGGUUGACCUCGGAUCAGGUAGGGAGUACCCGCUGAACUUAA